ACAGAAUAUAGCAGAACUAGAGUGAAAAGGCUUUCACAGCGCCCUCAGGACUCAUUCGACAAGAUUUACACCGCAGGACCGUCUGUUGCUGCUGGGAUUCCGACAGAAAAAUACACUCAUUUAAAACCAAGGUGUGAAUUAAGAUGGCAGUCGAAACGCUGCUUUGUCGGUCCCGCGGGCAGGCAGGGGGCAGCGUUACCGGGACACAACGUUACCGGGACACAGCGUUACCGGGACACAGCGUUACCGGGACACAGCGUUACCGGGACACAGCGUUACCGGGGCUCCUCGUCCCGCCGAGUCUCAGUGCCGCGGCCGCUCCUCACAGCCCUCAGCCCCGCCAUCCCCUCGUGCUGCCCCGCCGCUCCCACACCCGCUCGGGCUCCCGGCCCAGCCCAGGAAAAGUCCCUUAGCGCCGGGAUUUCCCCGCUCCGACACGGGCCGACAGGGCGGCGGCAGCUCCGCCUGGCAGCGGCCGCGGGGUCGCGCUCUCCGCCCGCCGGCGCUGCCCUUCCCUCCCCUUCUCUCCCCUUCCGUCCCCUCGUUGUCCCGGGGCCACCUGUCCCCCCUUCCUCCCGCCUCCCCUUCCGCCCCGCCGCGGCCCCGGGCUCACUCACCAGCGUUGCUCUCGGGCGGAGCGGGAGGCGGCGUGGCCGGGGGGAAGGAGGAGGGGAGGACGGCAGGACGAGGACAGGACGAGGCGGCUUGUUUACUCCCGGGCCGGGGCGGCGAGCCCGGGAGCGGAGCGGAGCAAGCGCCGCUGGCCCCGGCGCCGCUCACUGCACGGGCCCGGGGAGGAAUCCCAGGAAUGAUGGAAUUGCGCUGCUAGCAGGUACGAGAACGCGGCGAGGAGGAAGCGGAGACGCGGACAAGCCCCGCCCGCCCGGAGCGCGGCUCGGCCCCCACGGGAGGAGCGGGGCGGGUUGGCAGGUAGUGAGGGAUAGAGGGAGCACGGCACUGCUGUGGGGAAACGGCCUUACUACGGAGAACAAAGCAAAGCGAUCUGAAAAGCAAACCCCUUUAGAAUUAAAAUUCCAUCGCGGGAGGUUUGUUUGUAGGAGUUUGGUUUUGUUUCCAAAGUCCCUUCUUACAGUUGCUGUGACUCAUUCAGCCCGCUGCGGAAGUAGCCAGAAAUCAAUGUAUGAGAUGAAAGCUGAGUGA
rnacentral:lncRNA from 1 species